CAGUCGCCGUGGGAAUACAGAGGGUGCGAGCGUUAAUCGGAUUUACUGGGCGUAAAGCGUGCGUAGGCGGCUUUUUAAGUCGGAUGUGAAAUCCCUGAGCUUAACUUAGGAAUUGCAUUCGAUACUGGGAAGCUAGAGUAUGGGAGAGGAUGGUAGAAUUCCAGGUGUAGCGGUGAAAUGCGUAGAGAUCUGGAGGAAUACCGAUGGCGAAGGCAGCCAUCUGGCCUAAUACUGACGCUGAGGUACGAAAGCAUGGGGAGCAAACAGGAUUAGAUACCCCAGUAGUCCCUGUCUCUUAUAC
rnacentral:rRNA from 1 species